rnacentral:tRNA from 1 species
UGGGAUGUAGCUCAGUGGCAAAGCACUUGCCUAGAAAGCACAACGUCCUGGGUUCAAUCCCCAGUACCAA